rfam:Faecalibaculum rodentium strain Alo17, complete genome.
AACCGCCGUAUACGGAUCCGUACGUACGGUGGUGUGAGAGGGAGGGGCAGAACUAACCUGUCUCUCCCUACUCUAU